GGGCGGUUAACUCAGCGGCUAGAGUACCUGCUUUACACGCAGGGAGUCGUAGGUUCGAAUCCUACACUGCCCA
rnacentral:tRNA from 1 species